GGCAGGAACCAUGGGAGGAAUUUGGGUUCUGGGCUUUUGUGCAGUCGCAUUGUGGCUUAAAGGGACUUGUUUGCCUAUUGAUCAGAAUGGAGGAGUACACUAUGAGCCACAGAGGAUUGGGAAUGCCUUUUCCCAAAAUGAAGUUUCUGUAAAGAAACUUGCUUUACUCCAGUCUAUGGAUUCUAAUUUGAUGAAAGUCCAAAUAGAAACCAAUGAAGUGGAAUGGGACGCCUCCCACAACGUGUCAAGCGACGCCUCCCACAACGUGUCAAGCGACGCCUCC